rnacentral:rRNA from 1 species
UACGUAGGGUGCAAGCGUUGUCCGGAAUUAUUGGGCGUAAAGGGCUCGUAGGCGGUCUGUCGCGUCGGGAGUGAAAACUCAGGGCUUAACCCUGAGCCUGCUUCCGAUACGGGCAGACUAGAGGUAUGCAGGGGAGAACGGAAUUCCUGGUGUAGCGGUGGAAUGCGCAGAUAUCAGGAGGAACACCGGUGGCGAAGGCGGUUCUCUGGGCCGAUACUGACGCUGAGGAGCGAAAGCGUGGGGAGCAAACAGG